UGAGUGUCAAACACACUAAUGCCUUACCCACUCUGCCAUUUCCUCUCCACUAUGUACAAAGGUUUGCAGUACUAAACACUUACGGUUCAUCCACUGGUUCUCGAAGUAAUUAAUAUAUCGACGAGCUAUUUGUUCGUUUUCCGCGUGACUACUCUCUUCUUUGAUCAGGUUAAAACCCUCGGCUAUGUGCUCGACUGGUAAAAGGGCCAGAGCCUUCGACAUGCGGAACAUGUUAUGAAAUACCAAGUCGUUACGAUAUUCACGUCGCUGCAUGCAAAACUCUUUACCAUUUUUCUAAAGUGCCUAUAAAUUACCAUAAACAUUUUUAAAUGGCAACACACGAUGCUAUAUUUUAUAGCACCGGAAAUGAUGAGAGAAUUAUUAAAAACAUUUUUCAUACUUGCACCAUGUGGAACCAACAGCGCUGCAGGUUGGCAGCUGGCAGAGUAUUCCUCAGUGCAUUGGUUAAUGCGGUUUCAUAGUCAGUAAUGAUGUUUGCUGCUUGAAUACCGCCUGGAAUAAGAUCCCUUACGUAUUCAAGCACGCACCGGUACGCGAUCUCGGUCUUCCUUGUCAUCAACACAAAUGCAACCGGAAAAGCCUAAGUAAACGCGAAAUGAAAACCACUGCUUCGCCAGCUUCUACACCUCCAUCUAUGUAGCCCCUAUACAACUCCUCGUUGCUAGACGUUAAAAAUAGAUGACGGUACCUCGGGUCGGACAAAUUGCCCGCAUAUCCCAAGAGAGUCUGGGGUAUCGAUGGCUGAGUCUCGGCCCUGGCCCGUUCCAUAGUUCGCAAGAAGCUGGUGUACGUCAAUUGAGUGUUAACAUG